GGCCUCGUAGCUCAGCUGGUAGAGCACGCGCUGUACAAAAGUGUAGACGGCAUCCUUGCGUGGGUCCGAAUCCCAUCGAGGCUA
rfam:Echinostoma caproni strain Egypt genome assembly, scaffold: ECPE_scaffold0004612